GUUCCUCUUUGUUUCUCUCCAGCCACCCCAGCAGAGUUUCUCCUGUUUGGCAGUCAACACGUGUGCAGCUCAUCUGUUGUUGGGGAAGGCAUUCUCUUCCUCUUCCUCCAGCUGCCUGAAAAUCAUAUGCGUGGUUUUUCCUGUUUCCUGCUCUGUAGCUGACAUCAGGGGAGCAACGUGAACACAGGAAAAUGGAAAUCAACAUUUGAAACUUUUAAAUGGAAGCUUUAUUGGGGUUCCACAUAUGGAAAACUGCAAAUAGCAGAAGUAUGUGACUCAAUAAAUUAUUCUGGAGUGACCACAUCCUCUAACUGCCUCCCAGGACAAGACGGAGAAUGUGAACAAUGCUCCUGAAGGCCCCUUUCCCUCAAAGAAUCACUGCAAUUGAAGGAAAAAUGCUCCAUGUCCCCUCUGCCAGUUGGUGUUUAUCAAAGGACAACGGAGGAAGAGAGACAAAGUGCCUGGAUGUGUGUGUUAAUCAAGAGUUGUCAGGACCCUGCCUCUAAAAGAAAGCGCUAAAAUGAUGCUUUUGACAAGACUUUUCUCAAAGUGGAUGCAGUCUAAGGGUUGGAAAACAAGGCCCAAUCAGGCUAGGUCUGACUUGUCGCCUGCUUUUGUAAAUAAAGUUUUAUUGGCU
rnacentral:lncRNA from 1 species